rnacentral:tRNA from 2 species
GGGCCGGUAGCUCAGUUGGUAGAGCACCUGACUUUUAAUCAGGUUGUCGUGGGUUCGAUCCCCCCCCGGCUCACCA